ACGAUACUAGUAAAAUUAACAUUACACUGCUUUGUCAAAGCAGAAUUGUAGGUUAAAACCCUGCGUAUCUUU
rnacentral:tRNA from 1 species